UAAGGGCGCACGGUGGAUGCCUUGGCACUAGAAGCCGAUGAAGGACGUUACUAACGACGAUAUGCUUUGGGGAGCUGUAAGUAAGCUUUGAUCCAGAGAUUUCCGAAUGGGGAAACCCAGCAUGAGUUAUGUCAUGUUAUCGAUAUGUGAAUACAUAGCAUAUCAGAAGGCACACCCGGAGAACUGAAACAUCUUAGUACCCGGAGGAAGAGAAAGAAAAUUCGAUUCCCUUAGUAGCGGCGAGCGAAACGGGAAGAGCCCAAACCAACAAGCUUGCUUGUUGGGGUUGUAGGACACUCUAUACGGAGUUACAAAGGACGACAUUAGACGAAUCAUCUGGAAAGAUGAAUCAAAGAAGGUAAUAAUCCUGUAGUCGAAAAUGUUGUCUCUCUUGAGUGGAUCCUGAGUACGACGGAGCACGUGAAAUUCCGUCGGAAUCUGGGAGGACCAUCUCCUAAGGCUAAAUACUCUCUAGUGACCGAUAGUGAACCAGUACCGUGAGGGAAAGGUGAAAAGCACCCC
rnacentral:rRNA from 1 species